rnacentral:lncRNA from 1 species
CUAAAUUGGUAAUUUUAAGGAAAUUUUACUGUUUUUGGUUAUUAUCUUGAAUAUUAUUAUAGAUAGAGAUAAACUGUAAACAGCAAUAAUGUUCAGCAAAGUAAGAUUUACAAAAAAGUCAGCAUGACCAAAAUGGUCAAUUGACCCCUUAAGGAGUUAUUGCCCUCUAUAGUUAAUUUUUAACAUUUUUCAUAAAUUUUUGUAAAUUUGUAGAAAAUAUUUUCCACUGUAAUUACUGGGCCAAGUUCAUUAUAGACAGAGAUAAUUGUAGCAACAAGAAUGUUCAGUAAAGUAAGAUCUACAAACACAUCACUAUCACCAAAACACAAUUAUGUCAUGAAUUUAUCCGUGUCCAUUAUUUAAUAUGCACAAGACCAAGGUGAGCGACACAGGCUCUUUAGAGCCUCUAGUUUA